GAUCUAUGAUGUUAAAUAACGCAGCUAGUGAUGGAAGGGUUCAUCACGCCCAUCUGAUACUCAGAUGAUAAACAUGCGUUGCUGAGAUC
rfam:Cucumis sativus cultivar 9930 chromosome 3, whole genome shotgun sequence.